rnacentral:lncRNA from 1 species
UUUAGGUGUGAGAUUACAAGAUAAGGGACUUUGGCUUAGGUAGGUAAAAUAGGUAAGAUGUGAUGUUAUGACAUAGAAUAUGGGCUUGGUCUAAUUUCUGAAAAAGUAAUUUCUGAAAAACUAAUUUUGGUUUGGAGAAGUGAUUUUGGUUAAAAGCUGUAGAGCGUUUGGCUGAGUUUAAAUAAAAGCGAUUUUUCUGAAGUGAUUUUUAAAAGCAGUUUGGCAAAAUAUUUUUGAUGUUUGCAUAAAUUAAUAUUUUAACUAAAUUUUAUUUCAAAAUAAUUUAAAAUUUAAAUUUAAAAUUGAAUUAAAAUUAAAAUUUGUAAAUUUCAAAAUUGUACAAAAUUUAAAAUUUGAUAUUGUAAUUUAAAAAAUAAUUUAAUAAUUUUAAAUUUUAAAUUUAAAAUUUAAAAUUUAAAAUUUAAAAUUUAAAUUUAAAAUUUAAAAUUUAAAAUUU